GACGAACGCUGGCGGCGUGCUUAACACAUGCAAGUCGAACGGAAAGGCCCCUUUGGGGGUACUCGAGUGGCGAACGGGUGAGUAACACGUGAGUAACCUGCCCUUGACUUCGGGAUAACUUCAGGAAACUGGGGCUAAUACCAGAUAGGAAUCCUUGCUGCAUGGUGGGGGUUGGAAAGCUUCGGCGGUUUUGGAUGGACUCGCGGCUUAUCAGCUUGUUGGUGGGGUAGUGGCUUACCAAGGCUUUGACGGGUAGCCGGCCUGAGAGGGCGACCGGCCACAUUGGGACUGAGAUACGGCCCAGACUCCUACGGGAGGCAGCAGUGGGGAAUAUUGCACAAGGGGCGGAAGCCUGAUGCAGCAACGCCGCGUGCGGGAUGACGGCCUUCGGGUUGUAAACCGCUUUCAGCAGGGGCGAAGCUUGUGGUGACGGUACCUGCAGAAGAAGCACCGGCUAACUACGUG
rnacentral:rRNA from 1 species